CUCGCCCUUGCCCGGCCCGGCCCGUGCCCGCCGCCGCCGCCAUGUUGUGCGCCCGCCGCCUCCUGCGCCUCGCCGCGCUGCCGCCGCCCCGGGCCCGCUCCUACGCCGAGCCCGCGGCCGGGCCGGCCGCCAUGGCCUUCACCUUCGCCUCCCCCACGCAGGUGUUCUACAACGGCGCCGCCGUGAAGCAGGUGGACGUGCCCACCCUCACCGGCUCCUUCGGCAUCCUGGCGGCCCACGUCCCCACGCUGCAGGUCCUCAAGCCCGGCGUGGUGACGGUGUACGGCGAGGACGGGGCGGCCACCAAGUACUUCGUGAGCAGCGGCUCCGUCACGGUCAACGCGGACUCCACCGUGCAGGUGCUGGCAGAGGAGGCGGUGACGAUGGACAUGCUGGACCUGGCCACUGCAAAAUCAAACCUGGAGAAGGCCAUUUCAGAGGUGGCUGCCGCGUCCGAUGAAGCUGCUAAAGCAGAAGCUCAGAUUAAAGUAGAAGCCAACGAAGCCCUUGUAAAAGCCCUGGAGUAAUCUGUUGGAAGGCUUUCUGCGCGGCAGCGUGCGCGCUGUGCCUGGCAGGUGAGUCACGGAGCCUCAGACGGCCUCUCUCCGGAGCAGCCAUUUAGCAACGCGAGCGAGGCCUCGGAUCGGGAUCCUGCUCCGCCGAGCCCACCCCACGUUAAAACCAGCUCCGCCUCUGUGUGUUGCAGGAAUCCCACUGUCGCUGCA